rnacentral:rRNA from 1 species
CAACUUUCAGCAAUGGAUCUCUUGGUUCUCGCAUCGAUGAAAGAACCGCAGCGAAUCGCGAUAAGUAAUGUGAAUUGCAGAUUUUCAGUGAAUCAUCGAAUCUUUGAACGCACCUUGCGCCCCUUGGUACUCCGAGGGGCAUGCCUGUUUGAGUGUCAUU